rnacentral:rRNA from 1 species
UACGAAGGUCCCAAGCGUUAUCCGGAUUUAUUGGGCGUAAAGGGCGCGUAGGCGGGAUGGCAAGUCGGUCGUGAAAUCCCUCGGCUCAACCGAGGAACGUCGAUCGAUACUGCUGUUCUUGAGGAUUGCAGAGGAGACUGGAAUUCCCGGUGUAGCGGUGAAAUGUGUAGAGAUCGGGAGGAACACCGGUGGCGAAGGCGGGUCUCUGGGCAAUUCCUGACGCUGAGGCGCGAAAGCGUGGGGAGCAAACGGG